rnacentral:rRNA from 1 species
AAAGGAAUAGACGGGAGCCCGCACAAGCAGUGGAGUAUGUGGUUUAAUUCGAAGCAACGCGAAGAACCUUACCAGAGCUUGACAUCCGCAGAAGUCUUGAUAAAAAAAGAUGUGCCUUCGGGAGCUGCGAGACAGGUGGUGCAUGGUUGUCGUCAGCUCGUGUCGUGAGAUGUUGGGUUAAGUCCCGCAACGAGCGCAACCCUUACGGUUAGUUGCUACGCAAGAGCACUCUAACCGGACUGCCGUUGACAAAACGGAGGAAGGUGGGGACGACGUCAAAUCAUCAUGCCCCUUACGUUCUGGGCUACACACGUACUACAAUGACGCAAAACAACGGGGAGCGAAGGCGCGAGCCGGAGCAAAUCCCAAAAAGGCGUCCCAGUUCAGAUUGCAGGCUGCAACUCGCCUGCAUGAAGUCGGAAUUGCUAGUAAUCGCGAAUCAGAAUGUCGCGGUGAAUACGUUCCCGGGCUUUGUACACACCGCCCGU